ACCUAGCUGGCUCAGUCAGUGGAGCAUAUGACUACUGAUCUUGGGGUUAUGAGUUCAAGCCCCAUGCUGGGUG
rnacentral:tRNA from 1 species